UACAGAGGUCUCGAGCGUUGUUCGGAUUCAUUGGGCGUAAAGGGCGCGUAGGCGGCGGGGCAAGUCGGGUGUGAAAUCUCAGGGCUCAACCCUGAAACUGCACUCGAUACUGCUCUGCUUGAGGACUGGAGAGGAGACUGGAAUUCACGGUGUAGCAGUGAAAUGCGUAGAUAUCGUGAGGAAGACCAGUGGCGAAGGCGGGUCUCUGGACAGUUCCUGACGCUGAGGCGCGAAGGCCAGGGGAGCAAACGGG
rnacentral:rRNA from 1 species